GGGGACCAACUCCAUAUUAAUGCCUUCCCAGAAGAGUGGAGGCUGUUAUAGCAGCAAAGGGGGGUCCAACUCCAUAUUAAAGCCUUCCCAGAAGAGUGGAGGCUGUUAUAGCAGCAAAGGGGGGACCAACUCCAUAUUAAAGCCUUCCCAGAAGAGUGGAGGCUGUUAUAGCAGCAAAGGGGGGACCAACUCCAUAUUAAUGACUUCCCAGAAGAGUGGAGGCUGUUAUAGCAGCAAAGGGGGACCAACUCCAUAUUAAUGCCUUCCCAGAAGAGUGGAGGCUGUUAUAGCAGCAAAGGGGGGACCAACUCCAUAUUAAUGCCUUCCCAGAAGAGUGGAGGCUGUUAUAG
ensembl:lncRNA